UCCUAUCCUCGUCAGCACCUCGUCUCCUCCACUAGCCGCAGCCCCUGUGACCACAAAUUUCGUCCGCAGCCACCGUCCCUGCUCCACCAGCGUCGCCACCUCCACCGAUCGACGCCAACAUUUGCCCCAUCGAGAGCUCGAUUCGGAGUUUUAGCUGAUUUUUCUUAUUUCAAAUAAAGGGUUUUCUGUUUUAGAAUAUCUUUUCUUUUUCCCUUUUCAUAUUAUAUAAUUUUUUUUUUUACUUUUAGCCAUUUUUCCCCGUUCGAUUCGAUGGGGAUGGUGAUUUUUUGAUGAAGUUGAAAAUUUCUGUGUGGUUGUUAUAUAUGAUGGGGAAUCUAGCCUGUGCAGAGUGCACAUGGUAGUUAUCCUGUUCCCCUAGUGGGCCCUGCCGCCAAGCUGCAGCCAUGGGAUGCUCCUACUGAUCCGUAAUGGGAGGGUGUAAGAGAAUGUUGUCAGCUGAGGACAUUGGAAGGGAAAACGCUCAACCCAUUUCCAGGUGACUGGACUACUACCUGAUGUAGUUGGUACUACUUGCAAUCAACAUCUUGAGAAAGUACUUGGAACAGAUCAUGCAAGCAUUCUACGUGUUCCAUUCAGAAUGGAGAAGGGAAUUCUCCAGACUUAUAUGGAGUUUGCUGGUAAUGAGAAUGGCAUCACUGCAUUUCAGAUGGAAGGUCAAGACAAAUCAAAUCAACAGAACUCAGUUUUUUCAGGAGAUGCUUUGUUUCUUGUCCAUUGGAAAG